rnacentral:siRNA from 1 species
AAAUUGACUUUUGGAGAAUCA